AUGAGUCGACCUGAUGGGAUCAACAUCCCCGAUGGGAAGUUCUACCUUGGAGUUGCUGGCUAUACAUGUCGGCCGGGUAUUCGUCCACCCUUCAGGAAAACAAGGUACCAUCUCAACGAGUUCUCUGGUAGGAACUAUCCUAGGACUGUACAAGAGCUGUUUAAUCUCAGACACUCCAGCCUUAGGGUAACUGUUGGGAGGGCAUUUGGAGCUCUGAAGAAUAGGUUUAAGAUCUUGGAUCAGAAGCCAUUCCACCCAUACUCCACUCAGGCUAAGCUUGUUCUUGCUUGUUGCAUUCUGCAUAACUGGAUCCUCUAG
rnacentral:rRNA from 1 species